rnacentral:rRNA from 1 species
UUCAUAAACAACCAGGAUGUUGGCUCAGAAGCAGCCACCAUUUAAAGAGUGCGUAAUAGCUCACUGGUCGAGAGACGCUGCGCCGAAAAUGUCCGGGGCUCAAGCACGGAACCGAAGCUAUGGCAUGAUAGCAAUAUCAUGGGUAGGGGAGCGUUCUUAUAAGGAAGAAGCAUGACCGGAAGGACAUGUGGACAAAUAAGAAGUGAGAAUGCCGGUAUGAGUAUCGAAAAGAAAGGUGAGAAUCCUUUCCACCGAAAGCCCGAGGGUUCCUGAGCAACGAUCGUCGACUCAGGGUAAGUCGGGACCUAAGCCGAGGCGAGAAGCGUAGGCGAUGGACAACAGGUUGAAAUUCCUGUACCGGAUCAAGUCGAUCGAGCGAAGGAGCGACGCAGGAGGGCACAUGAUCGCGCGGCUGGAAGAGCGCGUCCAAGUGCGUAUGUUGCAGCAGAGGAAAACCCCUGCAGCUAAAAGCAGAGACAUGAUGGGGAGUUAAAGGAAACUUUGACGAACUCAUGGAUCCCACACUGCCAAGAAAAACUUCUAGCGAGACAAGAUCCGCCCGUACCGUAAACCGACACAGGUAGGCGGGGAGAGAAUCCUAAGGUGCGCGGGAAAACCCUCGUUAAGGAACUCGGCAAAUUGCAUCCGUAACCUAGGGAGAAGGAUGGCCCCCGGUCAGUGAAGAGCAGAAACGCUCAGAGCUAAAAGGGGCGGCAGAAAAGAGGCCCAAGCAACUGUUUACCAAAAACACAGGUGCCUGCGAAAGCGAAAGCUGAAGUAUAGGUGCUGACGCCUGCCCGGUGCCGGAAGGUUAAGGAGAGAAGUUAGCGAAAGCGAAGCAUCGAACUGAAGCCCCGGUGAACGGCGGCCGUAACUAUAACGGUCCUAAGGUAGCGAAAUUCCUUGUCGGGUAAGUUCCGACCCGCAUGAAAGGCGUAAUGAUUUGGGCACUGUCUCAACGAGGGGCCCGGUGAAAUUGAAAUACCUGUGAAGAUGCAGGUUACCCGCGACUGGACAGAAAGACCCCAUGGAGCUUCACUGCAGCUUGAGAUUGAAUCCCGGUGACAGAUGCACAGGAUAGGUGGGAGGCGUCGAAGCAUUGCCCUAGGGCGGUGCGGAGCCGAUGUUGGGAUACCACCCUUCUGUUGCUGAGAUUCUAACGCGAGGAGUAACGACCCUGCGGACCCUCUCAGGCAGGCGGUUUGACUGGGGCGGUCGCCUCCGAAAGAGUAACGGAGGCGCCCAAAGGUUCCCUCAGGCCGGACAGAAACCGGCCGAAGAGUGCAAAGGCAGAAGGGAGCUUGACUGCGAGACCAACAAGUCGAGCAGGGACGAAAGUCGGGCUUAGUGAUCCGGUGGUACUGGGUGGAAAGGCCAUCGCUCAACGGAUAAAAGCUACCCUGGGGAUAACAGGCUAAUCUCUCCCAAGAGUUCAUAUCGACGGGGAGGUUUGGCACCUCGAUGUCGGCUCAUCACAUCCUGGGGCUGGAGUAGGUCCCAAGGGUUGGGCUGUUCGCCCAUUAAAGUGGUACGCGAGCUGGGUUCAAAACGUCGUGAGACAGUUUGGUUCAUAUCCAUCGCGGGCGCAAGAAGUUUGAGAGGAGCUGCUCCUAGUACGAGAGGACCGGAGUGGACGGAUCAACGGUGUCCCAGUUGUCACGCCAGUGGCACGGCUGGAAAGCCGCAUCCGGGAAGGAUAAACGCUGAAAGCAUCUAAGCGUGAAGCCAACCUCAAGAUGAGACUUCU